AAUGAACGCUGGCGGCGUGUCUUAAGCAUGCAAGUCGUGCGGCAAGGGUAGCAAUACCCCUAGAGCGGCGGACUGGUGAGUAACGCGUGGGUGAUCUGCCUCCGGGAUGGGGAUAGCCACUACGAAAUAGUGGGUAAUACCGAAUACGUUCACCGAACUGUGGUUUGGUGAGGAAAGGCGCUUCGGCGCCACCCGGAGAUGAGCCCGCGUCCCAUUAGCUAGUUGGUGAGGUAAAAGCCCACCAAGGCGAUGAUGGGUAGGCGGCCUGAGAGGGUGUACGCCCACACUGGGACUGAGAUACGGCCCAGACUCCUACGGGAGGCAGCAGCUAAGAAUAUUCCGCAAUGGACGAAAGUCUGACGGAGCGACGCCGCGUGGAUGAAGAAGGCCGAAAGGUUGUAAAAUCCUUUUGUUGGGGAAGAAUAACCAUGGGAGGGAAUGCCCGUGGGAUGACAUGAACCGACGAAUAAAGUCCCGGCUAACUACGUAGCCAAGCAGCCGCGGUAAGGCUACGUAGA
rnacentral:rRNA from 1 species